rnacentral:rRNA from 1 species
AACGAACGCUGGCGGCGCGUCUUAAGCAUGCAAGUCGAACGGCAAGAUUGGUGCUUGCACCGAUCCUAGAGUGGCGGACUGGUGAGUAACGCGUGGGUGACGUACCCUAAGGAUGGGGAUAGCUGAUAGAAAUAUCAGAUAAUACCGAAUAUCCUUAUUGUUGUUAGAGGACAGUAAGGAAAGGAGCUUUGGCUUCGCCUAAGGAUCGGCCCGCGUACUAUUAGCUAGUUGGUGAGGUAACGGCUCACCAAGGCGACGAUAGUUAUCCGGCCUAAGAGGGUGAACGGACACAUUGGGACUGAGAUACGGCCCAGACUCCUACGGGAGGCAGCAGCUAAGAAUAUUCCGCAAUGGAGGAAACUCUGACGGAGCGACGCCGCGUGGAUGAUGAAGACCGGAAGGUUGUAAAAUCCUUUUAAGCAAGAAGAAUAAACUUUACAGGGAAUGGUAGAGUGGUGACGGUAUUGCUUGAAUAAGCAACGGCUAAUUACGUGCCAGCCGCCGCGGUAACAC